AGUUUAAAAAUUAUUAAUUUAUUAUUUAAAAUUAUUUAUUUAAUAAAAAUAUUUUUAAAAUUAAAAUUGUUUUAGUAUUUUUAAAAGAUAAAAUUUUUUUUAUUAUAGUUUAUUAGUAUUGUAAAAGAAAUUAUUGAUUUAAUAUAAAUAAUUUAUAUAAAAGUAAAUUUAAUUUAUUGUACCUUGUGUAUCAGGGUUUAAUAAAUAAAUUAUAUUUAUAAUAUUUUUCUCGAAUUUAAAAGAUUUAUUUUAAUAUAAUUUUUAUUGUAGUAAAAAUAUUUUUAAUAUUAAAAUGGAAAUGAAAUGUUAUUCAAUUUUAAAUAUAUCUAGUUUUUUAAUAAAUGAAUUUAAUUCAGAUAUUAUAUUAAAUUAAUUAAUUUAAUUAUAAUUUUUAUAUAAUAUUAAUAUUAUAAGGGAUUAGCUUUAUAAUAAAUUUUUAUAAUAAUAAUAAAAAAAUUAAUUAAAUAGUCUUAGAAAUAGAUUUUAUUAUAAAAAUGUUAUAAUUUAAUUAAAAUUUAAUAUAUAAUUUUUAUUAAUUUAAUUUUUUAUUAAAAUGUGAAUAUUAAUAAUUUAUAAUUAAUAAUAAUGUUAAAAUUAGUAAAUUUUUUUUGUUGAUUAUAUUAAUUAAUUGAAAGGUUAAUUUUAGGAAUUCGGCAAAAUAAUUAUAUUCACCUGUUUAACAAAAACAUGUCCUUUUGAAAAAAAUUUAAGGUCUAAUCUGCUCAAUGAAUAAUAAAAUUUAAAUGGCCGCAGUAUUUUGACUGUGCAAAGGUAGCAUAAUAAAUAGUCUUUUAAUUAAAGGCUAGAAUGAAUGAUUGAAUGAGAUAUAUACUGUCUUAAAUUAAAUAUUUAUUAAAUUUAAUUUUUAAGUUAAAAAGCUUAAAUAAAUUUAGAGGACGAGAAGACCCUAUAGAAUUUUAUAAAUUAUAAAUUAUAUUUAAUUUAAUUUUUUAUUAUAAUUUAUAAUUUAUUUUAUUGGGGUGAUAAAAAAAUUUAAUAAACUUUUUUAUUUUAAAAUCAUAAAUUAAUGAAUUUUUGAUCCUAAAUUUAGAUUAUUAGUUUAAAUUACCUUAGGGAUAACAGCGUUAUUUUUUUUAGAGUUCUUAUCAAUAAAAAAGAUUGCGACCUCGAUGUUGGAUUAAAAUUUAAUUUAGGUGCAGAAGCUUAAAAUUUAGGUCUGUUCGACCUUUAAAAUUUUACAUGAUCUGAGUUCAGACCGGCGUGAGCCAGGUUGGUUUCUAUCCUUAAAAUAAAUAAAAAUUUUUAGUACGAAAGGAUUAAAAUUUUAUAAUAAUUUAUAAAUAAAAUUUAUAUGAAUUUUAUUAAUAUGAUUAAUUUAAU
rnacentral:rRNA from 1 species